UAGGGAAUAUUGGUCAAUGGGCGGAAGCCUGAACCAGCCAUGCCGCGUGCAGGAAGACGGCCUUCUGGGUUGUAAACUGCUUUUACCAGGGAACAAAUAGGCCAUGCGUGGCAAGUUGAGUGUACCUGGGGAAUAAGCACCGGCUAACUCCGUGCCAGCAGCCGCGGUAAUACGGAGGGUGCAAGCGUUGUCCGGAUUUAUUGGGUUUAAAGGGUGCGUAGGCGGGGUAUCCAGUUAGGGGUGAAAGCCCGGGGCUCAACCUCGGAACUGCCUUUAAAACUGAUACUCUAGAGUCCGGAAGAGGGUCGCGGAAUUCCCAGUGUAGAGGUGAAAUUCGUAGAUAUUGGGAAGAACACCGGUGGCGAAGGCGGCGACCUGGUCCGGUACUGACGCUGAGGCGCGAAAGCGUGGGGAGCAAACAGGAUUAGAUACCCGCGUAGUCC
rnacentral:rRNA from 1 species